UUUUGCUCCUUUGAGGGCCUCAGUGCAAUGUGAAGCGUGCCCAUUAAAAACCCUGAUUCGCCAAGGAUUGGAGCAUCAACCUAGUACAUGCAUCCGAUAAUCAUCUUCUCAUACAAAAUGGAUUUUAGCCAAAACAAUCUGUUUGGUUAUAUAGAAGAUCUGCAGGAACUUACUAUCAUUGAAAGGCCGGUGCGCAGGAGCUUAAAGGCAGAAUUCAUACUUACUCUGGAAUAAGUAAAAGUGGUCCUGGUGAUGAAUAGUACAAUCCUAUGCAUGCCUACUCAGAAGUAAGCCCCUUUGAAUUCAUCGGGACUUACUUGCAGACACCAGAAGAAAUAGAAAGACUGACAGUUGAUGAAGAACUCAGUGAUAUUGAAAGGGCUGUGUAUCUACUCAGGUAUAGUUUAGAUACUAUCGUUUUAGUACCUUUUAUUUAAAUGUUUCCCUCUCCACCCUCUUGGUGAUUUUAUUUCUUGAGAUCUGAGUUGUAAUAACACUAUAAAAGGAAGAUUAAAAGAAUGUGUGACAGUAAGACUCCAUUAAACCUACAUGGCAAUAUAUUCUUAUA